UGAGGAAUAUUGGUCAAUGGGCGAGAGCCUGAACCAGCCAAGUCGCGUGAAGGAAGACUGCCCGCAAGGGUUGUAAACUUCUUUUAUAUGGGAAGAUAAUGACGGUACCAUAAGAAAAAGCCCCGGCUAACUACGUGCCAGCAGCCGCGGUAAUACGUAGGGGGCUAGCGUUGUCCGGAAUCACUGGGCGUAAAGGGUUCGCAGGCGGAAAUGCAAGUCAGGUGUAAAAGGCAGUAGCUUAACUACUGUAAGCAUUUGAAACUGCAUAUCUUGAGAAGAGUAGAGGUAAGUGGAAUUUUUAGUGUAGCGGUGAAAUGCGUAGAUAUUAAAAAGAAUACCGGUGGCGAAGGCGACUUACUGGGCUCAUUCUGACGCUGAGGAACGAAAGCGUGGGUAGCAAACAGG
rnacentral:rRNA from 1 species